UACGUAGGGGCGAGCGUUGUCCGGAUUUAUUGGGCGUAAAGAGCUCGUAGGCGGUUCGGUAAGUCCGCUGUGAAAGUCGGGGGCUCAACCCUCGGAUGGCCGGUGGAUACUGUCGAGCUUGAGUACGGAAGAGGCGAGUGGAAUCCUGGUGUAGCGGUGAAAUGCGCAGAUAUCAGGAGGAACACCAAUUGCGAAGGCAGCUCGCUGGGACGUUACUGACGCUGAGACGCGAAAGCGUGGGGAGCAAACAGG
rnacentral:rRNA from 1 species